UACGUAGGGGGCAAGGCGUUGUCCGGAAUCAUUGGGCGUAAAGCGCGUGUAGGCGGUUUCGUAAGUCUGCUGUGAAAGUCGGAGGCUCAACCUUCGAAGCCGGUGGAUACUGUGAGACUUGAGUACGGAAGAGGAGAGUGGAAUCCUGGUGUAGCGGUGAAAUGCGCAGAGUAUCAAGGAGGAACACCAACGGCGAAGGCAGCUCUCUGGGAACGUUACUGACGGCGAGACGCGAAAGCGUGGGGAGCAAACAGG
rnacentral:rRNA from 1 species